rnacentral:rRNA from 1 species
CUUUUGCAAGUCAUAAAACCACUAGUGAAUAAGGGGUGGGCAAGUUCUGGUGUCAGCCGCCGCGGUAAAACCAGCACCUCAAGUGGUCAGGAGGAUUAUUGAGCCUAAAGCAUCCGUAGCCGGCUCUGUAAGUUUUCGGUUAAAUCCAUGUGCUCAACGCAUGGGCUGUCGAAAAUACUGCAUAGCUAGGGAGUGGGAGAGGUAGACGGUACUCGGUAGGAAGGGGCAAAAUCCUUUGAUCUAUCGAUGACCACCUGUGGCGAAGGCGGUCUACCAGAACACGUUCGACGGUGAGGGAUGAAAGCUGAGGGAGCAAACCGGAUUAGAUACCCGGGUAGUCCCAGCUGUAAACGAUGCAGACUCGAUGAUGCAUUGGCAUGUAGCCAGUGCAGUGUCGCAGGGAAGCCGUUAAGUCUGCCGCCUGGGAAGUACGUACGCAAGUAUGAAACUUAAAGGAA